rnacentral:rRNA from 1 species
GAGACAGCAGCCGCCGCGGGAAUACGGAGGGUGCAAGCGUUAUCCGGAUUUAUUGGGUUUAAAGGGUCCGUAGGCGGAUCUGUAAGUCAGUGGUGAAAUCUCACAGCUUAACUGUGAAACUGCCAUUGAUACUGCAGGUCUUGAGUAAAUUUGAAGUGGCUGGAAUAAGUAGUGUAGCGGUGAAAUGCAUAGAUAUUACUUAGAACACCAAUUGCGAAGGCAGGUCACUAAGAUUUAACUGACGCUGAUGGACGAAAGCGUGGGGAGCGAACAGGAUUAGAUACCCCAGUAGUCCCUGUCUCUUAUAC